UACAUGGGGUGCAAACGUUGCUCGGAAUUACUGGGCGUAAAGAGUGUGUAGGCGGUGCUCUAAGUUCGGUGUGAAAUCUCCCGGCUCAACUGGGAGGGUGCGCCGAAAACUGGAGUGCUGGAGCGCGGGAGAGGAAAGCGGAAUUCCUGGUGUAGCGGUGAAAUGCGUAGAUAUCAGGAGGAACACCGGCGGUGUAGACGGCUUUCUGGACCGUAGCUGACGCUGAGACACGAAAGCGUGGGUAGCAAACAGG
rnacentral:rRNA from 1 species